CCUACGGGAGGCAGCAGUGAGGAAUAUUGGUCAAUGGGCGCGAGCCUGAACCAGCCAAGUAGCGUGAAGGAUGACUGCCCUACGGGUUGUAAACUUCUUUUAUAAAGGAAUAAAGUGAGGCACGUGUGCCUUUUUGUAUGUACUUGAUGAAUAAGCAUCGGCUAACUCCGUGCCAGCAGCCGCGGUAAUACGGAGGAUCCGAGCGUUAUCCGGAUUUAUUGGGUUUAAAGGGAGCGUAGAUGGGUUGUUAAGUCAGUUGUGAAAGUGUGCGGCUCAACCGUAAAAUUGCAAUUGAUACUGGCAGCCUUGAGUACAGUUGAGGUAGGCGGAAUUCGUGGUGUAGCGGUGAAAUGCUUAGAUAUCGCGAAGAACUCCGAUUGCGAAGGCAGCUUACUAGACUGCCACUGACGUUGAUGCUCGAAAGUGUGGGUAUCAAACAGGAUUAGAUACCCGAGUAGUC
rnacentral:rRNA from 1 species